rnacentral:rRNA from 2 species
UUGACCUCGGAUCAGGUAGGGAUACCCGCUGAACUUAAGCAUAUCAAUAAGCGGAGGAAAAGAAACCAACAGGGAUUGCCCUAGUAACGGCGAGUGAAGCGGCAAGAGCUCAAAUUUGAAAUCUGGCCCCUCCGGGGUCCGAGUUGUAAUUUGCAGAGGAUGCUUCGGGUGCGGUCCCCAUCUAAGUGCCCUGGAACGGGCCGUCAUAGAGGGUGAGAAUCCCGUCUGGGAUGGGUGGCCGUGCCCGUGUGAAGCUCCUUCGACGAGUCGGGUUGUUUGGGAAUGCAGCUCUAAAUGGGUGGUAAAUUUCAUCUAAAGCUAAAUAUUGGCCGGAGACCGAUAGCGCACAAGUAGAGUGAUCGAAAGAUGAAAAGCACUUUGAAAAGAGAGUUAAACAGCACGUGAAAUUGUUGAAAGGGAAGCGCUUGCGACCAGACUCGCCCGCGGGGGUUCAGCCGGUACUCGUACCGGUGUAUUCCCCCGUGGGCGGGCCAGCGUCGGUUUGGGCGGCCGGUCAAAGGCCCCCGGAAUGUGUCGCCUCUCGGGGCGUCUUAUAGCCGGGGGUGCAAUGCGGCCAGCCUGGACCGAGGAACGCGCUUCGGCACGGACGCUGGCGUAAUGGUCGUAAGCGG